rnacentral:rRNA from 1 species
CUACGGGGGGUAGCAGUGAGGAAUAUUGCACAAUGGGGGGAACCCUGAUGCAGCAACGCCGCGUGGAGGAUGACGCAUUUCGGUGUGUAAACUCCUUUUUAUAUGUCAAGAAAGUGACGGUAGCAUAUGAAUAAGCACCGGCUAACUCCGUGCCAGCAGCCGCGGUAAUACGGAGGGUGCAAGCGUUACUCGGAAUCACUGGGCGUAAAGGACGCGUAGGCGGGUUGGAAAGUCAGGUGUGAAAUCCUACAGCUUAACUGUAGAACUGCACUUGAAACUUCUAAUCUAGAGUAUGGGAGGGGGAGAUGGAAUUAGUGGUGUAGGGGUAAAAUCCGUAGAUAUCACUAGGAAUACCUAAAGCGAAGGCGAUCUCCUGGAACAUUACUGACGCUAAGGCGUGAAAGCGUGGGGAGCAAACAGGAUUAGAUACCCCCGUAGUC